rnacentral:tRNA from 1 species
GCGGGUAUAGUUUAGUGGUAAAACCUCAGCCUUCCAAGCUGAUGAUGGGAGUUCGAUUCUCCCUACCCGCU